rnacentral:rRNA from 1 species
GACGAACGCUGGCGGCGUGCCUAACACAUGCAAGUGGAGCGACGAACCGGGCUUCGGCCCGGGGCAAAGCCGCGAACGGGUGAGUAACACGUGGGUAACCUGCCCCGAUGACCGGGACAACUCGAGGAAACUCGGGCUAAUACCGGAUGUGCUCACGCCACAUCAGUGGUGUGAGCAAAGGUAGCUUCGGCCUCCGCAUCGGGAUGGGCCCGCGGCCCAUUAGCUUGUUGGUGGGGUAANGGCCCACCAAGGCUUCGAUGGGUAGCUGGUCUGAGAGGACGAUCAGCCACACUGGGACUGAGACACGGCCCAGACUCCUACGGGAGGCAGCAGUGGGGAAUCUUGCGCAAUGCGCGAAAGCGUGACGCAGCAACGCCGCGUGAGGGAAGAAGGCUCUCGGGUUGUAAAGCUCUUUUACCCGGGAUGAUAAUGACAGUACC